rnacentral:rRNA from 1 species
UACGUAGGGGGGCUAGCGUUGUCCGGAUUUAUUGGGCGUAAAGAGCGUGUAGGCGGCCAGGUAGGUCUGCUGUGAAAACUCGAGGCUCAACCUCGAGACGUCGGCGGAAACCAUCUGGCUAGAGUCCGGAAGAGGAGAGUGGAAUUCCUGGUGUAGCGGUGAAAUGCGCAGAUAUCAGGAAGAACACCCGUGGCGAAGGCGGCUCUCUGGGACGGUACUGACGCUGAGACGGCGAAAGCGUGGGGAGCGAACAGG